GGAUAUAAUGUAUUUACAAAGCACAUUCUGCUGGUCAGCGGUUGCGAGAGAAAUAGCAUUUUCGCAGUUUCUUGUUACUGAAUUUAAGGUUUAUUAAAAAAAAAGGUUAAGAUAUAUUAAUCUUCUGGGAAAGAAUCACUGAUCA